rnacentral:rRNA from 1 species
GGGAUAACUCCGGGAAACCGGAGCUAAUACCGGAUAGUUCCUUGAACCGCAUGGUUCAAGGAUGAAAGACGGUUUCGGCUGUCACUUACAGAUGGACCCGCGGCGCAUUAGCUAGUUGGUGGGGUAAUGGCUCACCAAGGCGACGAUGCGUAGCCGACCUGAGAGGGUGAUCGGCCACACUGGGACUGAGACACGGCCCAGACUCCUACGGGAGGCAGCAGUAGGGAAUCUUCCGCAAUGGACGAAAGUCUGACGGAGCAACGCCGCGUGAGUGAUGAAGGUUUUCGGAUCGUAAAGCUCUGUUGUUAGGGAAGAACAAGUGCGAGAGUAACUGCUCGCACCUUGACGGUACCUAACCAGAAAGCCACGGCUAACUACGUGCCAGCAGCCGCGGUAAUACGUAGGUGGCAAGCGUUGUCCGGAAUUAUUGGGCGUAAAGGGCUCGCAGGCGGUUUCUUAAGUCUGAUGUGAAAGCCCCCGGCUCAACCGGGGAGGGUCAUUGGAAACUGGGAAACUUGAGUGCAGAAGAGGAGAGUGGAAUUCCACGUGUAGCGGUGAAAUGCGUAGAGAUGUGGAGGAACACCAGUGGCGAAGGCGACUCUCUGGUCUGUAACUGACGCUGAGGAGCGAAAGCGUGGGGAGCGAACAGGAUUAGAUACCCUGGUAGUCCACGCCGUAAACGAUGAGUGCUAAGUGUUAGGGGGUUUCCGCCCCUUAGUGCUGCAGCUAACGCAUUAAGCACUCCGCCUGGGGAGUACGGUCGCAAGACUGAAACUCAAAGGAAUUGACGGGGGCCCGCACAAGCGGUGGAGCAUGUGGUUUAAUUCGAAGCAACGCGAAGAACCUUACCAGGUCUUGACAUCCUCUGACAACCCUAGAGAUAGGGCUUUCCCUUCGGGGACAGAGUGACAGGUGGUGCAUGGUUGUCGUCAGCUCGUGUCGUGAGAUGUUGGGUUAAGUCCCGCAACGAGCGCAACCCUUGAUCUUAGUUGCCAGCAUUCAGUUGGGCACUCUAAGGUGACUGCCGGUGACAAACCGGAGGAAGGUGGGGAUGACGUCAAAUCAUCAUGCCCCUUAUGACCUGGGCUACACACGUGCUACAAUGGACAGAACAAAGGGCUGCAAGACCGCAAGGUUUAGCCAAUCCCAUAAAUCUGUUCUCAGUUCGGAUCGCAGUCUGCAACUCGACUGCGU